CCUCAUUUCUAGGAAAGACUCUGGUUGUGCUUUCUGCAGGAGUUUCUAGAAAAAGAAACAGAAUUUGCACAUGAAGAUUCCUGGAUUGGACUCCGUCAUGAGAAUGGAAAUUGGAAAUGGCAUCAUGGCCCAAAUGUAGUAAAAACUUAUUGGAUGCAUGGUCAGCCUGACAAAAUAAAGGAAGAAGCCUGUGUCAUAUUAAAAUCACAUUGUUCCAGAGCAACUAAAUGUUGGGAAAACAUUCCCUGUAAUGUAGAAAAACGGUGGAUAUGUAAGAAGAUGCCUGAUA